rnacentral:rRNA from 1 species
AUUGAACGCUGGCGGCAUGCCUUACACAUGCAAGUCGAACGGCAGCACGGGAGCAAGCCUGGUGGCGAGUGGCGAAAGGGUGAGUAAAGUAUCGGAACGUGCCCAGUCGUGGGGGAUAACGUAGCGAAAGUUAGGCUAAUACCGCGUACGAUCUAUGGAUGAAAGCGGGGGAUCGCAAGACAUCGCGCGAUUGGAGGGGCGGAUAUCAGAUUGGGUAGUUGGUGGGGGAAAGGCUCACGAAGCCGACGAGCUGUAGCUGGUCUGAGAGGACGACCAGCCACACUGGGACUGAGACACGGCCCAGACUCCUACGGGAGGCAGCAGUGGGGAAUUUUGGACAAUGGGCGAAAGCCUGAUCCAGCCAUGCCGCGUGCAGGAUGAAGGCCUUCGGGUUGUAAACUGCUUUUGUACGGAACGAAAAGGUUUGGCCUAAUAAGCUGAGCUCAUGACGGUACCGUAAGAAUAAGCACCGGCUAACUACGUGCCAGCAGCCGCAGUAA